UACGUAGGUGACAAGCGUUGUCCGGAUUACUGGGCGUAAAGAGCGCGCAGGCGGUCGUUCAAGUCGAGUGUGAAAGCCCCCGGCUCAACUGGGGAGGGUCAUUCGAUACUGAUCGACUCGAAGGCAGGAGAGGGUAGUGGAAUUCCCGGUGUAGUGGUGAAAUGCGUAGAUAUCGGGAGGAACACCAGUGGCGAAGGCGGCUAACUGGUCCAGAUCUGACGCUGAGGUGCGAAAGCGUGGGGAGCAAACAGG
rnacentral:rRNA from 1 species